rnacentral:ncRNA from 1 species
GGGAAGCCGGUGUGAGUCCGGCGCGGUCCCGCCACUGUGACCGGGGAGUGCGUUCUCGCGUGAGACAACGCCACUGACGGGGAAGCCCGUUGGGAAGGCGGGAGGGCGUGCGCCGAUCCGGGAGUCAGGAUACC